rnacentral:rRNA from 1 species
CUAAAUAACUGAGCGGAGCACACACUCUUGCAGUGGUGCCAGUUCUUUCAAGUGUCUACCUUAUCAACUUCCGACGGUAGUUUAUGCGCCUACCGUGGUUGUAACGGGUAACGGAGAAUCAGGGUUUGACUCCGGAGAGGGAGCCUGAGAAACGGCUACCACUUCUAAGGAAGGCAGCAGGCGCGCAAAUUACCCAUUCUCAGCACGAGGAGGUAGUGACGAGAAAUAGCAAGGCGGUGCCCAAUGGGUGCCGUCAUUGCAAUGAGAACUAUCUAAAUCCUAUACCGAUAAACAAGUCGAGGGCAAGUCUGGUGCCAGCAGCCGCGGUAAUUCCAGCUCGGCUAGCAUAUAUCAAUGUUGCUGCGGUUAAAAAG